UGCGGUAGCGUGAACGCUUUUAGUUCAUGAGGAAAGUCCGAGCAUCACAGAGCAGGAUAGCUGAUAACGUCAGCCGAGGGCGACCUCCGAGCAAGUGCAACAGAGAUAUACCGCCGCUUUAUGCGGUAAGGGUGGAAAGGCGGGGUAAGAGCCCACCGGAGCGGCAGAGAUGCCGCUGCCAUGUAAACCUUAUCCGAUGCAACACCAAUGGUGAUGUGUAAGUCAAUGGCUGCUCGUCAGGCUUGCACUCAUAGGUGGCUAGAGCCGUGCGGCGACGUACGGAGUAGAUAGAUUACCGCACACGACAAAACUCGGCUUAUAGGUACGCUCA
rnacentral:RNase_P_RNA from 1 species